GUCCACGCCCUAAACGAUGUCAACUGGUUGUUGGGUCUUCACUGACUCAGUAACGAAGCUAACGCGUGAAGUUGACCGCCUGGGGAGUACGGCCGCAAGGUUGAACUCAAAGGAAUUGACGGGACCCGCACAAGCGGUGGAUGAUGUGGUUUAAUUCGAUGCAACGCGAAACCUUACCCACCUUUGACAUGUAUGGAAUCCUUUAGAGAUAGAGGAGUGCUCGAAAGAGAGCCAUAACACAGGUGCUGCAUGGCUGUCGU
rnacentral:rRNA from 1 species